rnacentral:sRNA from 1 species
UGUAUUUUUCCCCGCACGGAGAGUCUGAAGGUAGCUGGCUUGGGGAGGGAUUUAGUAACCUAAAGGUCAUACUCUGUGGGGUUUUCUUGCUUAUAAAAAAUAACCACCGUUGAUGACCUUGGCACAUCCCGGGAACACAGGGCACAUGGUGGCAUCCAGGGAACAGAACGCAGGACACAUGGCAGUGUCACAGGACACAUGAUGGCAGCAUGAAGGGAACAGAGGACACAAGGCAUAUCACAGGGCACAUGGCGGCACGCAGGGAGCACAGGGCACCCGACAGCGUUUAGCCAGGCGUACCUCUCAUCUUCCCAGAACUUGUCCUCACACCUCAGCAGAUGCUCAUCUGUUUCCUCUGACUGAAAGGAGCUCACUCCAAAGGACAGGAAACCAGAAACUGUCCCUCAGCUAAGGGACAUCCAGCCACGUCUGCCCCAGGGCAUCGCUCCUGCCCCUCAUGUUUGCCUGCUUGAACCAACUCCCAUGAGUGGAUCUGCUCACCGGAUCUGCUUCGAGGUCACAUGGUUCAGUCUGCAUCCUGUGAAUGGGCAGGGGAAAGUGAGUGAGGGCUUGCCAGUGUGUAUGUACCGGGAGGUGACACUGCGGUGUCCGAGUCCUCAUUGCUGGUGUAGUGACAACUCAUGGCAGUGUCUGAAGGGGAGCCUCUGCAGGGCAUGGGUUGCCAACUUCUCACCUCCUCACCAGCGAGCCAUGGAGAGACUCCGACCCUGUCAUGCCUGUGACUGCCCACUUGGAAAUGGAAGCAAAGUUGCCACUGUCACUCUAGCCCAGCAGAGUGCCCAGCAGCUGAAGCAGGCGUUCAGAAAACCCCACUUCCCACCUCUGCCAGAGUAGAGGUCGCUGUGAAGUGUGGCCCACGUGAAGAGGCAACAGACAGAUUCACCAUGGCACUGUUUACUUCAUUGAGAAAGUGGAAGUCACUGGGACAGAAAAGACUCUACUGCUAUACAGCUCCAACACUGGGCAUCCACCUGUCUCCAGGAAUGGCACCUCUUACUCGCCUUCUCUCUGAGCCCUGGAUGGAACGGAAAAGCAAGCUCUGCUUCAUCCACCGUCCAAUUACGCAAGACGUCCUGACCGAGCAGCAACCAGCACAGGACCUCCUCUCCACUGACACUUGGUGCUGCGGGUCUCAUUCCUGACUGACAGGGCCAGCGACUUCUCUUGUCAAGCCUGGUCUUCUCCAAGAUACAAAUGACAAGAUGGGCAACCGAAGGCUGCAUGGCUGAUGAACAGGCAAAGGGUGCGGAUUAAAAACACAGCAGCUGGAACCCUGGGCUUAAUUGCUGACUUCCAAGAAGAACAUGGCAAUUGGGAGGUGCUAAAAGGAUGUUUUUAAAAUGGUUGAGCAUUUCUGUCUCUGACCACACGAGGUCUGUUGUUUGUGUUUACUCUGCUCUUUAGUUCUCCAAGGAGAGCUGUUGUGCCUAAUAUCACAACCAAACCCCCAGUGAUUCACUCUACAUGGUACAGUGCAUCCAAUGUGUAGGGAUUGUCCUAGGUUCCAGUCCCGGCCACAGGCAAUAAUCAGGCAAAAUGGGCCAGGAAGUGACAGAUGCUGAGUGAGACAGUAAAGUUGAGAAUGGCUGACUUGGGCCAAAGAGGCUUCUUCAGAAGAGAAUGGUGUGAACCCUGAGAGAGGGGAAGGUCGGGGACUCUUGGGAAAUGUUCUACACUGCAAACAGCAGUGCAAAGACCCUGAGCUAGGUCUGUUUGGCCAUUGUUGGGAGUCAGAGCACAGUGGGGAGACAAGGGUAGAGAGAAGGACGGAGAGGUGGGAAGGCUAGACCCAUAGAGAGAAAGACAGAGAGGUGGGAAGGCUAGAUUCAUAGAAAGAAGGAUGGAGAGGUGGGAAGGCUAGACCCACAGAGAGAAAGAUGGAGAGGUGGGAAGGCUAGACCCAUAGAGAGAAGGAUGGAGAGGUGGGAAGGCUAGACCUGCAGGUGCUCUGAGCUUUCUAUGCGGGAAGCAGAAGGUACGACUAUAAUUAAUUUACCUGUGAAAGGACCACUGAUGUGUGUUGGUGAGAGACUAGGGAGAGGGGCUAGGGUAGAGGCUGACAAGGAGCCCAGGAGACAAGUAAAGACAGUGCCUGAACAGCGGCUGGGACCAUUGUGGUGGAAGCAACAUAUAGGCAUGUAUGUAUGUGUGUAUGCACUUGUGUAUAUGUAUAUAUGUCAUAUUUAUAUAUGUAUAUAUGGUUUACAUAUAAAUCUCUUCAUAGUAUUUGUA